GGAUGGGGAAGAGAUAGAGCCGGAGCAUGAGGGCAGGAAGGUGGUGGUUUUCUUCACUCGGAAUGGCAAGAUCAUUGGGAAGAAGGAUGCUGUUGUUCCUUCUGGAGGCUUCUUCCCCACCAUUGGAAUGCUGAGCUGCGGGGAGAAAGUCAAAGUAGAUCUGCACCCCUUGAGUGGCUAGGGCCUCCCCUCCAGACCUGCUCCUUCUCCCUGCUCACCCUCUGCUGGGCCAGGCACCCAGUUCCUGACUUCCCAGAGGCUUCGUUUACCCAGCAGGCCCCUGGAGGUGUGUAGUCACUCUGCCCCCACUGGCUCUCCAUCUUUCCCUUGAGAGCUGGCUCCCCACCCCAACCUGCUCAGGCACCACAGAGGAUCUAGGUCUCUGGCUCCCCAUACCUGGACCCACAUGGGUGGGUGCCUGUUGCAUGUUUAAGAGAGAGGGGCUGUGAGGUGACAGGGCACUAGGGCCUUCACUCCUUUCUCCCCUUCCAUCCUUUCUUUACCAGUGCCACCCAUGUCCCUAGCUCCCGGGUAUUGGGGCUGAGGCUCUGGGGCCUGUCUCCCUGCCAGCGUGAGGGCAAGACCCCAGAGCCUUAGCUGAGCAAGCCCAGAGGGGCAGCGUGGCCCCUCCCUCC
rnacentral:lncRNA from 10 species